AGCAGCCGCGGUAAUUCCAGCUCCAAUAGCGUAUAUUAAAGUUGCUGCAGUUAAAAAGCUCGUAGUUGAAUUUCGGGACUAAUAUGUCGGUCGUGCCUUGGUACGUACUGGUAUUUUUGGUUUCUCCCUUCUGACGAACCUUGAUGUCAUUAAUUUGGUGUCUUGGGAAAUCAGGACUGUUACUUUGAAAAAAUUAGAGUGUUUAAAGCAGGCUCACGCUUGAAUACAUUAGCAUGGAAUAAUGAAAUAGGACGUUUGAUUCUAUUUUGUUGGUUUCUAGGAUCGACGUAAUGAUUAAUAGGGAUAGUUGGGGGCAUUAGUAUUCAAUUGUCAGAGGUGAAAUUCUUGGAUUUAUUGAAGACUAACUACUGCGAAAGCAUUUGCCAAGGAUGUUUUCAUUAAUCAAGAACGAAAGUUAGGGGAUCGAAGACGAUCAGAUACCGUCGUAGUCUUAACCAUAAACUAUGCCGACUAGGGAUCGGAUGAUGUUAAUUUUUUAAUGACUCAUUCGGCGCCUUAC
rnacentral:misc_RNA from 1 species